CAGCCGCCGCGGGAACACGUAGGUGGCAAGCGUUGUCCGGAAUUAUUGGGCGUAAAGGGCUCGCAGGCGGUUUCUUAAGUCUGAUGUGAAGGCCCCCGGCUCAACCGGGGAGGGUCAUUGGAAAUUGGGAAACUUGAGUGCAGAAGAGGAGAGUGGAAUUCCACGUGUAGCGGUGAAAUGCGUAGAGAUGUGGAGGAACACCAGUGGCGAAGGCGACUCUCUGGUCUGUAACUGACGCUGAGGAGCGAAAGCGUGGGGAGCGAACAGGAUUAGAUACCCGCGUAGUCCCUGUCUCUUAUAC
rnacentral:rRNA from 1 species